rnacentral:piRNA from 1 species
UGAUAAGCUCUGUUAUCUUUUGGUGU